rnacentral:rRNA from 1 species
ACGGAAGGCAGCAGUGGGGGAUAUUGCACAAUGGGGGAAACCCUGAUGCAGCGACGCCGCGUGAGUGAUGAAGUAUUUCGGUAUGUAAAGCUCUAUCAGCAGGGAAGAAAAUGACGGUACCUGACUAAGAAGCUCCGGCUAAAUACGUGCCAGCAGCCGCGGUAAUACGUAUGGAGCAAGCGUUAUCCGGAUUUACUGGGUGUAAAGGGAGCGUAGACGGCGUGGCAAGUCUGAUGUGAAAGCUAUGGGCUCAACCCAUAAACUGCAUUGGAAACUGUCAUGCUAGAGUGUCGGAGAGGUAAGCGGAAUUCCUAGUGUAGCGGUGAAAUGCGUAGAUAUUAGGAGGAACACCAGUGGCGAAGGCGGCUUACUGAACGAUAACUGACGUUGAGGCUCGAAAGCGUGGGGAGCAAACAGGAUUAGAUACCCUGGUA